rnacentral:rRNA from 1 species
CCUACGGGGGGCAGCAGUGAGGAAUAUUGGUCAAUGGGCGCGAGCCUGAACCAGCCAAGUAGCGUGAAGGAUGACUGCCCUACGGGUUGUAAACUUCUGUUAUAAAGGAAUAAAGUGAGGCACGUGUGCCUUUUUGUAUGUACUGUAUGAAUAAGGAUCGGCUAACUCCGUGCCAGCAGCCGCGGUAAUACGGAGGAUCCGAGCGUUAUCCGGAUUUAUUGGGUUUAAAGGGAGCGUAGAUGGGUUGUUAAGUCAGUUGUGAAAGUUUGCGGCUCAACCGUACAAUUGCAAUUGAUACGGGCAGUCUUGAGUCCAGUUGCGGUAGUCGGACUUCGUGGUGUAGCGGU